rnacentral:rRNA from 1 species
AGAGUUUGAUCCUGGCUCAGAAUCAACGCUGGCGGCGUGCCUAACACAUGCAAGUCGAACGAGAAAGUGGAGCAAUCCAUGAGUACAGUGGCGUACGGGUGAGUAACACGUGACUAACCUACCCUCGAGUGGGGAAUAACCUCGGGAAACCGGGGCUAAUACCGCAUAACAUCUUCGGAUCAAAUGCGUAAGCAGCUUGAGGAGGGGGUCGCGGCCGAUUAGCUAGUUGGCGGGGUAAUGGCCCACCAAGGCAAUGAUCGGUAGCCGGCCUGAGAGGGCGCACGGCCACACUGGAACUGAAACACGGUCCAGACUCCUACGGGAGGCAGCGGUGGGGAAUUUUGCGCAAUGGGGGAAACCCUGACGCAGCAACGCCGCGUGGAGGAUGAAGCCCCUUGGGGUGUAAACUCC